AUAGAGCCAUAACUUUGAAGACCAGUUGUAACAUUUUCAGAGUCAUCAUAACUUUGAAUAAUUGCCGAACAAGUGAUUGCUAAGUGAGAAAUACCUUAAAGUACAUUAGAAAAGCAAAAAAGAAUGUAUUCAUGAGAUCUUUCAGAUAUCCUACUGAGAGUUUUGUCUCUAUAGGGACAUUUGGAUGCAUUCUACACAUAUCCAAAGGCCAGACUGGAUUCUCUAUUUUAUGCUGCUAUAUUGUAACUUAUUGCAACAAUUCAUGUCUAAUAUGUCUGUAACAUAGAAUGCAUAUAAUUGCCAUGAUAAAUUCUUUUGUACAGUAA